AUGGGAUCGCCGUUCUUGAUUGGUGGUUAUUUUGAGAACUGUUUGCUCAGCCAAUGGGGCGCCCUGGUCUUACAGAUGUGGGAUCUUAAUUUGAGCCAGUUUCGUAUAGCAGGAAAAUAAUAAUUCAGCUGCAGGAAAUCUGCUGGUGAGCUGGGUUUUGAACCAAACACACACUCCUGUUCAUCCCGGUGGAGCAGCUCUACUGAUCCAGGGACCAGACUGGCUGCAGCAGAGUCCCAGGAUCCUGCCCACCUGCCAUGGUUGAAGACAAUCCUUUUCCCGCCUUCCGUUGCAGAGAUGCUCUCUUUCCUCCCCGUGUUUGACAAUCAGAGAGCCGAGACUCGUAAAGUCCCAUGACCUCCGAGGCUCCGUUGGACAUGUAACCCUGACUGUUUCCACUGUACUUAUGAACUACGACUUUAACUCUCCAACAGUCAACCAAUCAUCUCGCUGCCCCUGCCAGGUUCACUGACUGAAUGAUAAAUCCUAGACAACAAACUAGUCAGCCUAAAAACCAGAAGGACCAAUCAGAAAGGACCAUUGAGAGUGACCAAACAUAAUUUUUUUGUGUGUCGUUUUUUUAGAUAGUUUGUGAGCCCUUGAAAGACUAUGGGAGAGAGCAAAUCCUGAUGUGGGUUUGUUUACGUAGCCACAUACGGAUAGCAUUAGCAUGGUCCACAACAUGGACCUCAGAUCCACAUGGACCUUCUCAAUGUACCGUGCCAAAGGAACCACUCCCUGUCAGCAGAGAGACACUGAGAGGGGAACCGGGUUCCUAUUACUCUAGAACCCUCAAAGAGAACUCAGAGAAGUGUUCUGUGUAUGCUACCUUUCUCUGAAUGUUCUUAAGUCUGGAAACACUCCUGUCAUCCUAUCACUGGACAGCUCUCUUGGUUGACAGUGCUCCAGGUAGACGAUGUCCAUAGGAACUGAUCUAGGAUCAGUGCCCUUUCAAAAUCCUUAACUAUCAAGUGGGAAAACACAACUGACCUCAGACCAGUGUCUAGGGGCAACUUCUUCCCUCUCUGGGUGAAGGGUAUAAACGGUGACCAAACAAAACCCUCUGAGGAAAUCAAACUAGGAUCUGUUUAGAGGUUGUUUUUUCUCUUGUGUUUUUCUCUCCCCCUGCUGUACUUUGUUUGACUAACGAGUAUCAUGUUGUGUUUGUUUUUCUACAUCUGAAACAGAUUGAGUACUGUUCUCUUUGAGGUUUGUAUCAGUUGUGUGUUUCUGCUUGUGGGUGAUGUUUUAUUUAGUAGUGUAUUUAUUGACUAGUUUAAUUGCAACAUGCAUUGGAGUGGCAGUAUUUAGGUAUCCAUGUUGAAGUCAGCACUCCCCAAUCAUCAUUUUGGAAUCAGAGAUUGAGGAGUGCUGCUUUCAGGGGACGAGUUGUCUAUACAUAUCAGUUUACUAGUGAGGAUGUCGUGGUGUUUGAAGGUGACAUGAUCUCCGUUCUACUGAACCAGC
ensembl:lncRNA